rnacentral:rRNA from 1 species
CGGACGUGGGUAACCUGCCUCAUACAGGGGGAUAACAGUUAGAAAUGACUGCUAAUACCGCAUAAGCGCACAGCAUCGCAUGAUGCCGUGUGAAAAACUCCGGUGGUAUGAGAUGGACCUGCGUCUGAUUAGCUAGUUGGUGAGGUAACGGCCCACCAAGGCGACGAUCAGUAGCCGACCUGAGAGGGUGACCGGCCACAUUGGGACUGAGACACGGCCCAA